GAUGAACGCUGGCGGCGUGCCGAAUACAUGCAAGUCGAGCGAAUGGAUUAAGAGCUUGCUCUUAUGAAGUUAGCGGCGGACGGGUGAGUAACACGUGGGUAACCUGCCCAUAAGACUGGGAUAACUCCGGGAAACCGGGGCUAAUACCGGAUAACAUUUUGAACCGCAUGGUUCGAAAUUGAAAGGCGGCUUCGGCUGUCACUUAUGGAUGGACCCGCGUCGCAUUAGCUAGUUGGUGAGGUAACGGCUCACCAAGGCAACGAUGCGUAGCCGACCUGAGAGGGUGAACGGCCACACUGGGACUGAGACACGGCCCAGACUCCUACGGGAGGCAGCAGUAGGGAAUCUUCCGCAAUGGACGAAAGUCUGACGGAGCAACGCCGCGUGAGUGAUGAAGGCUUUCGGGUCGUAAAACUCUGUUGUUAGGGAAGAACAAGUGCUAGUUGAAUAAGCUGGCACCUUGACGGUACCUAACCAGAAAGCCACGGCUAACUACGUGCCAGCCGCCGCGGUAA
rnacentral:rRNA from 1 species